rnacentral:lncRNA from 1 species
CACCGUUUCAGUGGCAUUUGUCAGUCUUGGGUGACGCGCAGCCGCCCCCCGAGGGGGCCGAGGCGGCGGCAGCUGCUGCGGCGGCUGCAAGGGCAGAUUC